rnacentral:lncRNA from 1 species
AUGCACCAAAACAGCUAAAACAUUCAAAUGGAUUUAAAAAAAAAAUCCAAAUAGUUAUAACCUCACUCAUAUGGUUCGGGCUAGAUCACAUAUAGACAGAACUUCCAUCAAUAAAUAAGAGGUCACCAAAAGAGUACUAAGAUAUCACAACCACUUUCAACCUCAGAAUCAAAACAAAAAUUUGAUCGAUUAAGAUAGAGGAUAAGACUCUGAAGUCUGUCAUAGAAAGAUCAUGAGUCAACCUGUAUUUACCAAGAAACCAUUUUCAUACCAAAAAAAAGACUUUUCUCCUCCAUUUGUUUGACAGUUG